AUUGAACGCUGGCGGCAGCCUUAACACAUGCAAGUCGAGCGAGCGGCGGACGGGUGAGUACUGUAUCGGGACUGCUCGAUAGAGGGGGAUAACUACUCGAAACGGUAGCUAAUACCGCCCACUACCGGAUAAUCCAUAUGGGAUUAGCUAGUAGGGGAGGUAACAGCUCACCAAGGCGACGAUCCCUAGCUGGUCUGAGAGGAUGAUCAGCCAGACGGGGACUGAGACACGGCCCAGACUCCUGCGGAGGCAGCAGUGGGGAAGAUUGCACAAUGGGCGCAAGCCUGAUGCAGCCAUGCCGCGUGUAUGAAGAAGGCCCUAGGGUUGUAAAGUACUUUCAGUCGGGAGGCGUUACCGACAGAAGAAGCACCGGCUAACUCCGUGCCAGCAGCCGCGGUAAUUC
rnacentral:rRNA from 1 species